rnacentral:rRNA from 1 species
GAUGAGCAUGCGUCCCAUUAGCUAGUUGGUAAGGUAACGGCUUACCAAGGCGACGAUGGGUAGGGGUCCUGAGAGGGAGAUCCCCCACACUGGUACUGAGACACGGACCAGACUCCUACGGGAGGCAGCAGUGAGGAAUAUUGGUCAAUGGGCGCAAGCCUGAACCAGCCAUGCCGCGUGCAGGAUGACGGUCCUAUGGAUUGUAAACUGCUUUUGUACAGGAAGAAACAACUCUACGUGUAGAGUCUUGACGGUACUGUAAGAAUAAGGAUCGGCUAACUCCGUGCCAGCAGCCGCGGUAAUACGGAGGAUCCAAGCGUUAUCCGGAAUCAUUGGGUUUAAAGGGUCCGUAGGCGGUUUAGUAAGUCAGUGGUGAAAGCCCAUCGCUCAACGGUGGAACGGCCAUUGAUACUGCUAGACUUGAAUUAUUAGGAAGUAACUAGAAUAUGUAGUGUAGCGGUGAAAUGCUUAGAGAUUACAUGGAAUACCAAUUGCGAAGGCAGGUUACUACUAAUGGAUUGACGCUGAUGGACGAAAGCGUGGGUAGC